AUCCAUCUUAAGACUGUUAAUAAACUUUCUUAAAAUGUAAGUGGUGGUAAGUACUAAUGUUCGGCUAGGGGGUUUCUUUUGACUACAAAUUGAGACAAAGUCCACAAAAUCCAAAUCUCUACUCGUACCUCUUAACCAUCAACGUAUGCAAGUAACACUCCAAAAAUUUAGGCAAAAUAACCAGCAAUACAACUGAAAGCAAAACACGGCCUAGUCAUAAAACAAGUCUUCUUGUUAAGCCUUACAAGCAGCAUCAAAAGGUGAACCAAGAGGCUCAACAAAAUAAAAAGCCUAGGUGCAGGGAUAGUUCUGUCUAACAAACUAAUAGAUAUUAACCUGCAGGCGGGGUUCAACUCCCAGCCAAGGAGCAUCAAAACCCCCACCCCCACCCACCCACCCACACGCCCCAACCCCCCCUCCACAUUUUAUGAGAAACUGAAAUAUUUUUUCUUAUUUGAUUGUAACUAUAAAAAUCAUCUUGAAAUGAUUUUCUAGCAUUUGAAUUUUUUUGCAGAAAUAAAUUUUGAUUUAAUGAGGAAAAUCAUGAUUCCUUUUCCCCCCAUUUGUAGCUUAAUAGGAUUAAAAAAAAAACUGAAAUGUCAAGUAUGGUGUUCUCUGACUCCUGGCAAUCGAUGAUGACUAAUGGUUUCAGAGAGGAAAAUUACUUAGUUUUCGUAAUAUCAAGGAAAAUGAUUUUUUUUUUCCAAUUUUCCUAUAAAACCAAGCACCGAAAAAUUUGGAAAAUAUUUUCUAUGAAAGAAACAAACCCCUUAAUUACUUCAUCUGUCAAUUAUAUUUUUGUUAGUGUAUGUGCAUGUAUGUUCUAAAAGAAAUGUGGAAAUUGUGUAUUGCAUCCUCAUAUUAUUUUACUAUGUAACAUAUCCACAUGCUCAUAUUCAAUAUUUGGACCCAGUUGCUUUGUGCUCAUUUGGUUUAACUCUUGGAGCCAGUGGUUGACUGUUGAAACUUCAAUCGCUAGACCAUAGGCAUUUGGUAAACAAAAGCUAGUAAUUGAAACCCUAAAAGUUGGCUAUUGAUUUUUAUAACUAAAAGCUGCAAAAACUAUGCAAUUUAAAAGCUUUUGGAAUCAAAAGUUGGCUUUCAGAAAAAUAUGCCAUUUAAUUUCAAAAUAAUUAGCUAAUACUUAUUAAUAAUUUAAUUUUUAACCUUUUUGGUAUAAACGUAUAUUUAAGUAGCCAAG
rnacentral:misc_RNA from 1 species